ACCAGUCAUUGAAGGGCGGAGUCAACUCAUAACAUGUCAAAGUUCUCAAAAUGGAGUUCCCUGGAAGAUUUACUCUAUUAUGGUAAACAAGCAGCACUAUAGGGAAACCCAAUACCACCAAGUACAAGGCCCUGCACGUAGGAAGCACUCAAUAAAAGUGGCUGAAGAAAAAAGACAAUGGAAUUCAGGUUCCCUUCAGUGACCAAUGUUGGUUCUAAAAGGCUGAUGUUCAAAACAUUCUUAUUUCCUCUCUGUUAAAUGGAAGAAUAUUAACCCAAUCAUACAGUAGGACAACAGAGAAUAGUCACUGAUUUCUUCUUUGGCUCCAUUUAAGAUAACAUUUUCCUGUGUAAGAAGUAAACAACUUAAUACAAGUCAUUCCCCAAUUGAUAAAUGGUCAAAGGAUAUGAACAGACCGUUUUCAGAUGAAGAAA